GGCCUUUAGAAUUUAAUUUAAGGUCUGACCUGCCCAGUGAUGAAUUUAACGGCCGCGGUAUAUUGACCGUGCAAAGGUAGCAUAAUCAUUAGUCUUUUAAUAGAGGGCUGGAAUGAACGGUUUAACGAGGAAUUAGCUGUCUCAUUUUAUUUGUUUUAAAACUUAAUUUUUUAGUUAAAAAGCUAAAAUUUUAUUGGAAGACGAGAAGACCCUAUAGAUCUUUAUAUAAUUUUUGUAUUUAUUUAUAUAUUAACAUAAAUGUAUUAAUAUUAUAUUUUGUUGGGGUGACAAAAAUAUAUAACUAACUUUUUUAUUUAUUUACCAUUGAUAUAUGAGUUUUGGAUCCAUUUUUAGUGAUUACUAGAUUAAGUUACCUUAGGGAUAACAGCGUAAUCCUCCUCCAGAGUUCAUAUUUACAGGAGGGCUUGCGACCUCGAUGUUGGAUUAAGAUAAUAAUUAGGUGUAGCCGCUUAAUUUAUAGGUCUGUUCGACCUUUAAAUUCUU
rnacentral:rRNA from 1 species